UACGGGGGAGCAAGCGUUGUUCGGAUUUACUGGGCGUAAAGGGCGCGUAGGCGGCCACCGCAAGUCGACUGUGAAAUCUCCGGGCUUAACCCGGAAAGGUCAGCCGAUACUGCGGGGCUAGAGUGCAGAAGGGGCAACUGGAAUUCUCGGUGUAGCGGUGAAAUGCGCAGAUAUCUGGAGGAACACCGGUGGCGAAGGCGGCAUCCUGGACCGGCAUUGACGCUGAGGCGCGAAAGCCAGGGGAGCAAACGGG
rnacentral:rRNA from 1 species